AAUAUUUAUAUACAAGGCCAACUAUCAACCUACAUGGUUUGGCCUCAGGGUCAGUCCACCUAAUGUUGGAUGUAAAACCUUGUCUUAAAGAGGGGGCCCUAUGCCAAAUUCUAAGAACUGCGCAGCCAGGAUCCUGCUGAGAGUGCUUAAACAUGAACUUAUCACAUCCAUCCUACAUUCACUCCACUGGCUCCCGGUUUCACACAGGAUCGACUUCAGAAUCACAUCAGUGCAUCCAUGGAAACGCCCCCACAUACUUGAAAGAACUGCUGAACCCACAGACCACUACAAGAACCCUCCGCUCCACCAACACCAACCGCCUCCACUGCCCUUGAACCAGACUCCACACUAUGGGAGACCGGGCAUUUUACUCUGCUGACCCAUGACUGUGGAAUGCCCUCCCUGACCACCUGAGAGCACCAUAGACCAGGGGUUCCCAAACUUUUCAGCCCGUGACCCCCAAAAUAUAGGUGCCAAAGACUCGUGA